rnacentral:rRNA from 1 species
GAUGAACGCUAGCGGCAGGCUUAAUACAUGCAAGUCGAGGGGCAGCAGUUUUGUAGCAAUACAGAAGCUGGCGACCGGCAAACGGGUGCGGAACACGUACGCAACCUUCCUUUAACUGGGAGAUAGCCCACCGAAAGGUGGAUUAAUAUCCCAUAAUAUAACUGAAUGGCAUCAUUUAGCUAUUAAAGCUCCGGCGGUUAAAGAUGGGCGUGCGUCUGAUUAGGUAGUUGGCGGGGUAACGGCCCACCAAGCCUUCGAUCAGUAGCUGAUGUGAGAGCAUGAUCAGCCACACGGGCACUGAGACACGGGCCCGACUCCUACGGGAGGCAGCAGUAAGGAAUAUUGGUCAAUGGACGCAAGUCUGAACCAGCCAUGCCGCGUGGAGGAUGAAGGCCCUCUGGGUUGUAAACUUCUUUUCUUUGGGACGAAACCCCUGUUUCUACGGGGACUGACGGUACCAGAGGAAUAAGCACCGGCUAACUCCGUGCCAGCAGCCGCAGUAACAC